UGUAAUUCAAUGCAAUAAACUGAAUCAAGUGAGACGCCUAGAAUUUUCGGGGAAAUUCUGAAUGAACAGAUUUUAAAACAUAUAUCUACAUAUAAUUGUUAUAUUUUACUAUACCUGAGAAUCCUUUCAGGAACUUUAAGUGAUUGGUUACUAACAGAAAGUGAAUGUAGUCGGGGUCUGCUCUGCAGGAAAUAAACUGCUCAAAGUUAAAUGAUUUAAAUAUGCAUUUAUUUAUACACAAACAACCAACAAUUAUCCAAAUAAUAAAUAUCCAAAAGGGUUUCAUUUCUCACUUAUUAGGAUUCAUAGGAAAGAACAAAAUAGCUUUACGAUUUUGCCUUCACGUUGUGCGAAAAUAUAUCAGCCAGAACAUCAAGUAAACAUUGAAAUGGCCCAUGCCUAUUCAGCGCUGAAAUAACGAACUGUAUUGCACAUGUACCCACAAAUAACCGCUCCAAGCGGUGACGAAAACGAAUAUCCCAAUACCUUGACAUCGGAACGUAACAAUGCCACAGGAAAAUAUAACCGAGUAGAAUUGCUUUUCAACUAACACCGGCGGAAAGGUAACAUCAUCAUGAAAGCUCCAAAGCUUUCGGGUCAGUUCUGGUGACGGCGUGCAGCCGAUGCCGGGUCCAGUAAGACCACAACCAAGAGUCUCGUGACAUGCAAAAUCUAGUCAGAAAUAAAGCUGCAAAUUGCAAGGCAAUGCAAACCUAUCUCCAUUUAACGCGAAAACAAAAGGGGCUUUGAGUUGACCUGAUUGUGCAACGUUACAACAUACACGUAAAUAUUAGCACAGUGCAGACGGGUAACAAAUACUGAGGCGCAGAUGUACAAACGUAUAGACACGCCGAGCCACCAACGCGCGCAUCUAUUUGCACUUUACGAAAAGUUGUGUAGAAACGAAGGAUUCCCUACUUUGGAAAUAACUGCGUGUACGAGGUUCAUAAAACUGAGGGCAUGUCUUAAAAGAAUAAAACACUGAUUUCGGUUCAUCUCGCGAACGCACGCCUCUUCUGACAAACUCGCGGAUCCCGUCAGUAAGCGUGACCGCCCACGGUGGCGCUCCUUCCCUGGCGCGGAUCACAGCUACUUGUUGCGACACUUUGAAUUGAAUGGCGCGCCGCACCAUGUAUUGCACUCUCACUUCUCUUUUGCCUGGUUGCUCACAAUCUAAAUAAACAAUGCACCUGAUUACAUUCAACAGCCAGGAGCGCAAAGAAUAACCCUCUAGCGAUGGUCAUGAUGCUAGUUAUAAACGCUUAGAUAUUCACUGUUAAUGCUUACGUUCAACGAUCGUCUAACUGUCCCCGAUUCCUUGGGCUUGCUAUAUCUCCUAAAUUAUCACCACAGUGCAUUGCAUUGUCUUCACAGAACGAUAAUGAGGUAACUGGGAUAAAAUUCCCAUGGCUGUGUCUACGUUCUCCAAGUGAUCAUGUGGCUUUCCUUCAGGUGCUCUGGUUUCCUCCCACAGUCCAAAAACAUACAGUGGGAAGUUUCUGCACCUGUUGGAUACUCUUAAAGAGGAAGCCAAGAAAGAGAGAUAAGAAUCCACAGAAACCACCAUACUAUUUUGAACUUUGCACAACUUUGUUUCUCUUAUUAAUAAAAGAUUUAUUU